rnacentral:rRNA from 1 species
UACGUAGGGUGCGAGCGUUGUCCGGAAUUAUUGGGCGUAAAGAGCUUGUAGGCGGUUUGUCGCGUCUGCUGUGAAAAUCCGGGGCUCAACCCCGGACUUGCAGUGGGUACGGGCAGACUAGAGUGUGGUAGGGGAGACUGGAAUUCCUGGUGUAGCGGUGAAAUGCGCAGAUAUCAGGAGGAACACCAAUGGCGAAGGCAGCACUCUGGGACGGUACUGACGCUGAGACGCGAAAGCGUGGGGAGCAAACAGG